UUGUAAGUUUCUGUUGUCAGAGACGAUCAUGACCGUUCUAACAGGGGAAGCCCUUGACGGUACCUGACAACAAUUUCUGUUGUCAGAGACGAUCAUGACCGUUCUAACAGGGGAAGCCCUUGACGGUACCUGACAACAACCCCCCGGCUAGUAACGUGCCAGCAGCCGCGGUAA
rnacentral:rRNA from 1 species